CGCCCCUCAGGGAGGCACGUGAGUGGGUCUAUAACAUUCAGCCACCAAUCCCCCGGCUUUCCUGUUGUGUUUUCACCGCCUCUUUGUGACUCUAAGAGCAAAGUCCGCUAAACAAAGGCCAUGCGUUUUGUUCUAAACCUUUUUAUGCUCAUUCUGUGUCCAGGUGCUGCGCUAGGUGAUUCGGUCCAGUCCAAGGAACCCCAAGUGUUUGGAGUAGGAGGAGGCUCGGUGACAUUCAGCUGUUCCUACAAUACCACCGAUUCUAGGGGCGUCUAUCUCUACUGGUACCGACAGAUUCCUAACCGAGCCCCGCAGUACAUUCUGAGGAGAGGAACCAAGGUGUACGCCACUUAUAGCGAAAAUGCGGAUUUCGCCCAGGAGAGGUUUUCUUCCCAAGCUGAUGAGAGCUCCACAGUUCUGAACAUCACAACCCUGGAGUUGGCAGACACAGGGGUGUAUCUCUGCGCCCUGCAGCGGGCACAGUGACAAAGCCAAGGAGCAGAGCUGUACAAAAUCCCUCCCUUC